rnacentral:rRNA from 1 species
CCCUUAGAUGUUCUGGGCUGCACGCGCGCUACACUGAUGCGUUCAACGAGUUUAUGACCUUGCCCGAUAGGGUUGGGUAAUCUCCAAAUUUCGUCGUGAUGGGGAUAGAUUAUUGCAAUUAUUAAUCUUCAACGAGGAAUGCCUAGUAAGCGCAAGUCAUCAGCUUGCGUUGAUUACGUCCCUGCCCUUUGUACACACCGCCCGUCGCUCCUACCGAUUGAAUGGUCCGGUGAAGCGUUCGGACCGUGGCCUUUGGACGGUUCGCCGUCUGUUGGCUGCGGGAAGUUCGUUAAACCUUAUCAUUUAGAGGAAGGAGAAGUCGUAACA